rnacentral:rRNA from 1 species
UGGGGAAUAUUGGACAAUGGGCGAAAGCCUGAUCCAGCCAUGCCGCGUGUGUGAAGAAGGUCUUCGGAUUGUAAAGCACUUUAAGUUGGGAGGAAGGGCAGUAAGCGAAUACCUUGCUGUUUUGACGUUACCGACAGAAUAAGCACCGGCUAACUCUGUGCCAGCAGCCGCGUUAAUACAGAGGGUGCAAGCGUUAAUCGGAAUUACUGGGCGUAAAGCGCGCGUAGGUGGUUCGUUAAGUUGAAUGUGAAAGCCCCGGGCUCAACCUGGGAACUGCAUCCAAAACUGGCGAGCUAGAGUAGAGCAGAGGGUGGUGGAAUUUCCUGUGUAGCGGUGAAAUGCGUAGAUAUAGGAAGGAACACCAGUGGCGAAGGCGACCACCUGGGCUCAUACUGACACUGAGGUGCGAAAGCGUGGGGAGCAAACAGG